CCCUUGAAGAGGAUCGACAUAAAUCAUACGUGGAGGCAUCACUUGAUGGACAUGCAGACAGAAUCCAACCCCAGGAUACGUCUCAGCCGAACACUGAAGACUGCCCCACCCCUGAAGGAGAUUGACAUAAAUCAUACGUGGAGGCAUCACUUGAUGGACAUGCAGACAGAAUCCAACCCCAGGAUACGUCCCAGCUGAACACUGAAGACUGCCCCGCCCCUGAAGGGGAUCGACAUAAAUCAUACGUGGAGGCAUCACUUGAUGGACAUGCAGACAAAAUCCAACCCAAGGAUACGUCUCAGCCGAACACUGAAGACUGCCCCGCCCCUGAAGGGGAUCGACAUCAAUCAAAU